CCCCCCCCCCGCUCACCCUUUGGGGAAUUAACCCCUCCGCUCCACCGGCUCAUUAGUCAAAACGGUCCGAGGCGAAGGACUGAGGGAUGUUCGUGCCACGUCUAUUUCCGUCCUCCUCUCCCCUAUUCCGCUGCAGAGACGGAGCAGGGGCGGUCCGCCUAGCAGUUACAAGGAGACAGCCAGUGAAGGGUGACUCACGCGGUCCCGCCGCCUUAACGUGUUGAUGUGUGAGGGGGAAAAAGGCGACUGAGCGGCAGAACGCACGCAAGCCUCCCGCACGCUAUGGAUGGAGGCAGAGCGUCAUCACCUACACAUUUGAAGCCGUCAAAUGAGAAAAGGGAUCAUUUAUUCUUGUUGUGUCUAUCAUUGCUGGUCAGACAGCAGCACACGUCUUACCCCCCCCUCCGGGUGGUACUUUCGCCCUGUCAAAAACUCUCUCAAUUGGCUGGAUCGAAAUUGGUUUUGUUCUAUCCUGAGACUUUGCAGCUUCUCCCAGAAGAAAUACGUCAAAUUGUCGCUCUGGAUCAGCGUCAAAGUCGAGUUACGGACGGCUCCCACUGCCCGGAUAAUCUGUCACUACAAAAGCAAUGUCAUCUAAAUCGUCAGUCCACUUAAGCAGUAAGACAAUAUUGAAGAAUUGUCAACAAAUGUGAGAAAGAGAGACAGCCCAGGGACAAGAGGACAAGACGUACAUGACAGUCAGUAAACACAUCUAACUGGAUAUUCUAAUUUCCAAAUUGGCCUUUUAACCUGUAUUCAGCCAGAGGUCAAUGAUCUGAGUUCCUCGACUGGAGGUUGGAAGUUGUGGAGAUUCAAACUUGUUUUUCCCGGAAAGAUGGGUCCAAAAAAAUAAAUAAAUGGAACACAGACAUUACAAAAACAAAUGGCGGAAGGUAGAGGUUGGUAAACACACUGGGCUGAUGUGUGUUGUUGUGUAAGGAGACCCACAUUAAACUCGCCCCCAAUUACUGACACAACGUGUGGGUUUUGAAGCAACAGUCCUAGGAAGCCAGUCACGUCUCUUUGGCCGUGCUGCCCUCCCGUUCACACGUGUGAUUGCUUUGAUUUGGCCAGUAAUUACUUUUUACAGCCAUUCAGUUGUUAAAGUGGGGUCUCUAGAGGAUCCCGUGGACACAUUUUUAAACUCUGAUUCCCUCCGUCUACCCAUUAGAUGGAAAUAAAAUAACAAUUAUUAACGUUUUCGGCGUGUCAUGUAAUUGGUGGUCCUCCAGCACUUUAGAUGAUAACAAUUCACAGCUUGUGCAAUAAAGUGGUGAAGUUUUGUGGCAGGCUUCAGCAUUUACUUUCGUUCUUUAUGACUUGGCGUGCCGCCCGUCGUAAUCGGGAGCAGGUUUUUGGCUCGAAGGCCGGCUGAGUUAUGUUGAGUGGAUUUCAGCUGUUUACAUUUUGUGUUUCCUCUGCCAUUUUAUCAGAUUAGGUCCA
ensembl:lncRNA